GGCAGCAGCACUGACCUGACUGACCCAGCCACAGGAUAGCUUGAUAGAAGCAGAUGAGGCACAGACUGAGUAGCAGGUUGAAAGCAGCAGAUGGGGUGCUUGAGUAGGUAAUCCUAUAGUCACAGAUGGUGUUAGACACAAAAGGUGAGGAAAACAGCAGUUUCAGAGGUACCAGCAAGCUAGCACAGCCACACUGAGUCCCUAAUGAG